UGCAGUCGAGCGGACAGAUGGGAGCUUGCUCCCUGAUGUUAGCGGCGGACGGGUGAGUAACACGUGGGUAACCUGCCUGUAAGACUGGGAUAACUCCGGGAAACCGGGGCUAAUACCGGAUGGUUGUUUGAACCGCAUGGUUCAGACAUAAAAGGUGGCUUCGGCUACCACUUACAGAUGGACCCGCGGCGCAUUAGCUAGUUGGUGAGGUAACGGCUCACCAAGGCAACGAUGCGUAGCCGACCUGAGAGGGUGAUCGGCCACACUGGGACUGAGACACGGCCCAGACUCCUACGGGAGGCAGCAGUAGGGAAUCUUCCGCAAUGGACGAAAGUCUGACGGAGCAACGCCGCGUGAGUGAUGAAGGUUUUCGGAUCGUAAAGCUCUGUUGUUAGGGAAGAACAAGUGCCGUUCAAAUAGGGCGGCACCUUGACGGUACCUAACCAGAAAGCCACGGCUAACUACUUGCCAGCAGCCGCGGUAAUACGUAGGUGGCAAGCGUUGUCCGGAAUUAUUGGGCGUAUAGGGCUCGCAGGCGGUUUCUUAAGUCUGAUGUGAAA
rnacentral:rRNA from 1 species